rnacentral:misc_RNA from 1 species
GAUGAAGAACGCAGCGAAAUGCGAUAAGUAGUGUGAAUUGCAGAAUUCAGUGAAUCAUCGAAUCUUUGAACGCACAUUGCGCCCUUUGGUAUUCCAAAGGGCAUGCCUGUUCGAGUGUCAUUUGUACCCUCAAGCUUUGCUUGGUGUUGGGCGUCUUGUCUCUAGCUUUGCUGGAGACUCGCCUUAAAGUAAUUGGCAGCCGGCCUACUGGUUUCGGAGCGCAGCACAAGUCGCACUCUCUAUCAGCAAAGGUCUAGCAUCCAUUAAGCCUUUUUUUUCAACUUUUGACCUCGGAUCAGGUAGGGAUACCCGCUGAACUUAAGCAUAUCAAUAAGCGGAGGA